GAUGAACGCUGGCGGCGUGCUUAACACAUGCAAGUCGAACGAUGAUCCCAGCUUGCUGGGGGAUUAGUGGCGAACGGGUGAGUAACACGUGAGUAACCUGCCCUUAACUCUGGGAUAAGACUGGGAAACUGGGUCUAAUACCGGAUAUGACUCCUCAUCGCAUGGUGGGGGGUGGAAAGCUUUUUUGUGGUUUUGGAUGGACUCGCGGCCUAUCAGCUUGUUGGUGAGGUAAUGGCUCACCAAGGCGACGACGGGUAGCCGGCCUGAGAGGGUGACCGGCCACACUGGGACUGUGACACGGCCCAGACUCCUACGGGAGGCAGCAGUGGGGAAUAUUGCACAAUGGGCGAAAGCCUGAUGCAGCGACGCCGCGUGAGGGAUGACGGCCUUCGGGUUGUAAACCUCUUACAGUAGGGAAGAAGCGAAAGUGACGGUACCUGCAGAAGAAGCGCCGGCUAACUACGUGCCAGCAGCCGCGGUAAUACGUAGGGCGCAAGCGUUAUCCGGAAUUAUUGGGCGUAAAGAGCUCGUAGGCGGUUUGUCGCGUCUGCCGUGAAAGUCCGGGGCUCAACUCCGGAUCUGCGGUGGGUACGGGCAGACUAGAGUGAUGUAGGGGAGACUGGAAUUCCUGGUGUAGCGGUGAAAUGCGCAGAUAUCAGGAGGAACACCGAUGGCGAAGGCAGGUCUCUGGGCAUUAACUGACGCUGAGGAGCGAAAGCAUGGGGA
rnacentral:rRNA from 1 species